CGGGGCGUAGCGUAGUCUGGUAACGCGUCCGGUUUGGGACCGGAAGACCGCGGGUUCAAAUCCUGCCGCCCCGACCA
rnacentral:tRNA from 26 species